AACGGCGAGUGAAGCGGCAACAGCUCAAAUUUGAAAUCUGGCCCCCCUGGGGUCCGAGUUGUAAUUUGUAGAGAGUGCUUCGGGUGAGACCGCGGUCUAAGUCCAUUGGAACAUGGCGUCAUAGAGGGUGAGAAUCCCGUAUGCGAUCGUGGCUCGAGCCCGUGUGAAGCCUCUUCGACGAGUCGAGUUGUUUGGGAAUGCAGCUCAAAAUGGGUGGUAAAUUUCAUCUAAAGCUAAAUACUGGCUGGAGACCGAUAGCGCACAAGUAGAGUGAUCGAAAGAUGAAAAGCACUUUGGAAAGAGAGUCAAAAAGUACGUGAAAUUGUUGAAAGGGAAGCGCUUGCAACCAGACCUGCCCGUAGGCGAUCAGCCGCUGUUCUCAGCGGUGCACUCGCUCUGCGAUCAGGCCAGCAUCGGUUUUGGCGGUUGGAUAAAGGCCUUGGGAAUGUAGCUUCCCUUCGGGGGAGUUUUAUAGCCCUCGGUGCAAUGCGGCCAGCCGAGACCGAGGACCGCGCUUCGGCUAGGAUGCUGGCGUAAUGGUUGUAAGCGACCCGUCUUGAAACACGGACCAAGGAGUCUAUUAUCGAUGCGAGUGUUUGGGUGUCAAACCCAUGCGCGAAAUGAAAGUGAACGGAGGUGAGAACCCUUAAGGGCGCAUCAUCGACCGAUCCAGAUGUCUUCGGAUGGAUUUGAGUAUGAGCAUCGCUAAUGGGACCCGAAAGGCAAGUGACCUANCCCCCCGNAUAACAUUGAGNCCUUAGCUAACAUUUUAUUUAGNAUGGUGAACUAUGCCUGAAUAGGGUGAAGCCAGAGGAAACUCUGGUGGAGGCUCGCAGCGGUUCUGACGUGCAAAUCGAUCGUCAAAUUUGGGUAUAGGGGCGAAAGACUAAUCGAACCAUUCAAUUUUUUGGGCUACAGGUGGUUAAUAAAAGCGCGUCACCCUGCGAGUGCUUUCAGUCCUCCGGGGCAACAUCACUACUUGCAUGGACAAAUAUCUAAGGUUAACAUGACGGGAUUGUCUAAGAAACGGAGUUUCGUUCACAGAACAAAAAUUGAUGACCGGGCGCCCUGGUCAGGGCACGCCCGGUUCAGAUAUGGCCGAGUCCCACUCCUAAGGGAGUAUGAUCUCGAGGCCGUU
rnacentral:rRNA from 1 species